rnacentral:rRNA from 1 species
UACGGAGAGUGCGAACGUUGUCCGGAUUCACUGGGCGUAAAGGGCACGUAGGCGGCUUGGCAAAUCGGUCGUGGAAUCCCGACGCUUACCGUCGGAACGGCGGCCGAAAAUACCGAGCUCGAGGGCGUGAGGGGUCACUGGAACUCCUGGUGAAGCGGUUAAAUGCGUAGAUAUCAGGAGGAACGCCGGAGGCGAAAGCGCUCAUCUGGCCCGAUACUGACGCUGAUGCGCGAAAGCUAGGGGAGCGAACGGG